rnacentral:RNase_P_RNA from 1 species
CACGAGAGUCAAUUGCUAGAAAUAGAGGAAAGUCCAGGCAUCCACAGUCUGUAAUGAUUGUAGUGUUUGUACCUAACGAAUCAAUAAGUUAGGGUAGUGUAAGCUAACGACAGGCCUAAGACCUAAACAUUUAUGCAUGGUUGAUAAGCUAUAAAGUGCCACAGAAACUAUGUCUUUUGAAAAAAAGAGUGAAAAGAGGUAAACUCUGCAAGGAUGAAACCCAAAUUUUGGUAGGGGAAUCAAACCAAAGGAAAAAAAACUGAGGUUUGGACGUGUAAACGUAGAUAAAUAAUUGACUGAAAAACAGAACUUGGCUUAUAAGA